rfam:Picea glauca, whole genome shotgun sequence.
AUGUACAUGCUUACAACGUUAAUGCAUCAAAUCCCAUCAAAACUCCACAGUUAAGCAAACUUGGACUAAAAUAAUACUAGGAUAGGUGACCUUUCAAGAAAUCCUAGUGUUUUACAUG